AUGAGAUUCGCAGCAGCUGUCAGUGUUAGGGUGGUGAUCUCGCGGCUUCUUGGUGAGGUUGCAUUGUGGCGGUGUGAUUGGAGUUCUCAGUUAGACUGGUUUGCAGUAAUAGAGUGUGUUGGAGAGAAUUUUGACGCAUUAGAGGGGUUUCUGUGGUGGCUGCUUGAUCAUGGUCGGGUCUUCUUCGCUGGCACUAUGUGA